UACUUAGUAACAUAACUUCAAUUCCACUCAUCAUGCCUCUGUAUGCCAUGCAGAGAGUUAGGUAACAGAAAUAAAGAAGAAAGAGGAGCAGAAGAAAGAGGAGGAGACUAGGAAGUUGAGAAGAAGGAAAGGUGAAGGAGGAGGAAGAAACAUCUAAAUAGUUUGAAGAGAUUCGUUGACAUUUAUGAUCCAGUUCUACUCACCAGUAUUUAUCACCUUUGUCUGCAAGAAAUAUGCUUACAAUCACAGCUCCCUGAAAACUGCCUGGGAUCCCUCCUCCCUAGAGCACCAUGAAGCCAGCUUCCCCCUCUCCAGGCCAUGGAAGGGC
rnacentral:lncRNA from 1 species